CCCUUCCCCAAUGCCAGUCACCACCAGCUUGCACGCGUCUGCCACCACCACUCUUUGGGAACCAACUGAGCACGUGUGGGGUGUAUGGAUCGACAGGGCUCAGGGGCAGCUGCUGAGGCUGGGGGGUGGGGUCAGGGGUCAGUCCCAGCACCCACCCCCUGCCCUCCUGGGUCAGGCCACUCAGCCAGUGACCUCGUGCUGUGUGGCUCGGUCGGCAAGGCCCCCCUGAGAGCCGGCUGGCCGAGGCAGCCCCAUGAGCAAGCGGGUUUUAAUUGUUUCUUCUCCAGCCUUGUUUAUGACUCGAUAAAAUCUAUAACACAGAGAGUGCCUGUCCUCCUCGGCUCCCUGCCUCCGCCCGGCUCUCGCUCCCUGGGGACCCAGCUCUGCUCUUUAUAGAAACCACUUGCUAAACUGGACCCACUUUAAACCCGUAAUUGUCAGUAAAUGACCCUCCCAGAAAAGAAGCUGCAAGUUAAGUGUGAAGCUCUCAGCUGAACAUGGAUCGAUGGCCUCUGCCUUCCCAGGAACUCGAUCCUCCUCCCGGGAGCAGAGACCCCCUCCCAGGCCAGCCCCCAAGCCUCCGGCCUGUGCCACCCACUAGGGAAGAGGGGAGGGGCCUGGACAUGUCGCGAGGAGAGGAGCGGACGUGGGUGCCGGCCUGGGCCUGUCACCAACUCUGAGCCCCUGGAGCUCAGAUGAGCUCUUCCAUCCCGAACCAUCCUCGCCUUCCCGGGACUCAGGACAAAAUCAGAGGCCCCUCCAGCGUGCCUUAGCAAGCCCAGCCUGCUCCCGGGACCCAGAGAGCCAAGCCAGGGGUCCCCAACACGGGGGUCCAGACAGCACACGUGUGCCCCACGCCCUGCCCGCCGAUACCAUCCAUGCGUCUCACACACCUGUGGCUGGCUGUCAAGAGCGAGAAGCUGCUGCUGUGAUGAAUAAGGUGGCAUCCACAGGCACAUCACCAGUUCCUCCGGGCAGGCCGGGCACAGGACAGACACGCCGCCUGUUUGUUGAGCGACUUACAGAUCUUCUCCACACCUGCACACUCAGCCUCCGGGGAUCAGCCACGUCUGAGAAAGCUGACACCCACCCCCGCUUCCCCCCCAUCCCAGGGAGGCCACACAAAAGUGCGGAGUCUGCUGUGUUCCUUCCUGAUGUUUAAGGAUAAAGAAGAGAAAAAAAAACCCAUCUACUCGCACCAAAGAAAACGAGGGGGCCUUAUUGGAGUGCCAAUGAGAUCUAACUAGCACAAUGGGGCUGUGUUGGUUUUCCUUUGCAAACAUCCUCUUUACUUGUGGGGCCCUCGGGGUGGGGUGUGUCAUGCUUGUUUCUUAUUCCUGCCUUGCUUCAUGCCUCGACUCCGCACAGAUGGACUUGGGACGAAGGACUGUGCACUCAGAGGGGGCAGCAGGGGUCUGGGAAGCCAACGGAGGCAGCAGCCCCGUGGGGACGUGGGGGCAUGGCAGGGGGUGAGCGUGGUCCCUGGAGCCCCUUCGGAGGUGGGGUAGGGGAGCAGACAGCCGGGAGGGGCCGCCAGCGGGGGUGAAGACAGCUUCGGCUUCCAGCUCUUCAGGGCCUGCCGCGCUCCAGGUCCUCUGCUAUUUUCCAUUCAUCAUCCCUCACCC